CUGAAACUACGCCUACAUGAAGCUGGAGUUACUAGUAAUCGCAGAUCAGAAUGCUGCGGUGAAUGCGUUCCCGGGUCUUGUACACACCGCCCGUCACACCACGGAAGUUGGGGGCGCCCGAAGCCACUUAGCUAACCCUUUUGGGAAGCGAGUGUCGAAGGUGAAAUCAAUAACUGGGGUGAAGUCGUAACAAGGUAUC
rnacentral:rRNA from 1 species